rnacentral:rRNA from 1 species
GACGAACGCUGGCGGCGUGCUUAACACAUGCCAGUCGAACGGAAAGGCCCUGCUUUUGUGGGGUGCUCGAGUGGCGAACGGGUGAGUAACACGUGAGUAACCUGCCCUUGACUUUGGGAUAACUUCAGGAAACUGGGGCUAAUACCGGAUAGGAGCUCCUGCUGCAUGGUGUGGGUUGGAAAGUUUCGGCGGUUGGGGAUGUACUCGCGGCUUAUCAGCUUGUUGGUGGGGUAGUGGCUUACCAAGGUUUUGACGGGUAGCCGGCCUGAGAGGGUGAGCGGCCACAUUGGGACUGAGGGACGGCCCAGACUGCUACGGGAGGCAGCAGUGGGGAAUAUUGCACAAUGGGCGGAAGCCUGAUGCAGCAACGCCGCGUGCGGGAUGACGGCCUUCGGGUUGUAAACCGCUUUCGCCUGUGACGAAGCGUGAGUGACGGUAAUGGGUAAAGAAGCACCGGCUAACUACGUG